rnacentral:siRNA from 1 species
CGAAUAUGACUUGAUGUCAUGU